rnacentral:tRNA from 3 species
AUUUCUUUAGUAUACCACGUACCAAUGCCUUCCAAGCAUUAAGCCCCAUCUGGGAAGAAAUA